rnacentral:misc_RNA from 1 species
AAGGUCUUGGCCCCUGAUAAUUCAUCAUCCCAAACCACACCGAAGAAUGAAAAGGCCUCACCUUUCAAUCUCAAACCAAAAGCUGCAUUAAAAUUUAUGUUGAAGAAAGAUGGCAGGUGGGAAGGACAAACAUGAAAAUGAUUCUACUGAUAAAGGGUUGCUUUCACAUCUUGCUGGAUAUGCUGCUGGUUACUACUCCCCACAUGGAUCAUAUCCUCCACACGGAUAUCCUCCUCAACCAUAUCCCCAGCAGGGCUAUCCUCCUGCUGGAUAUCCUCCUCCGGGUGGAUGUCCUCCUUCGG